AAAAAAAAAAAAAAAAAAACCAGUUCCCAAAUUCAAGAAUUUAAGCAUAUAAGACCCAAAAAACCCAACCAAGGAAAAGAAAAUUAAGUAAAUAAUACAACAGAGAUCUUAAUACUCUCAAAGGUAGAGCUGCAAUUAAGCGUGCAAAUAUAUCGGAAUGAAAAACAAAAGAAAAAUCCACAUAUUUUAAGAAGUAAAUUUGAGAUUGAAUCAGCACGAAUCACCUUAAUCGGUACAAUCUGUUACAGGUCUUUCUCAGCCAGAAAGAGGAGAAAGUGUCUAGGAAAAUCAAAAGAAGAAACAAUUGAAACGAAUGCGAAAAGAACGGAU
rnacentral:misc_RNA from 1 species